rnacentral:rRNA from 1 species
GAUGAACGCUGGCGGCGUGCCUAAUACAUGCAAGUCGAGCGAACAGACGAGGAGCUUGCUCCUCUGACGUUAGCGGCGGACGGGUGAGUAACACGUGGAUAACCUACCUAUAAGACUGGGAUAACUUCGGGAAACCGGAGCUAAUACCGGAUAAUAUAUUGAACCGCAUGGUUCAAUAGUGAAAGACGGUUUUGCUGGUACGUAUAGAUGGAUCCGCGCCGCAUUAGCUAGUUGGUAAGGUAACGGCUUACCAAGGCAACGAUGCGUAGCCGACCUGAGAGGGUGAUCGGCCACACUGGAACUGAGACACGGUCCAGACUCCUACGGGAGGCAGCAGUAGGGAAUCUUCCGCAAUGGGCGAAAGCCUGACGGAGCAACGCCGCGUGAGUGAUGAAGGUCUUCGGAUCGUAAAACUCUGUUAUUAGGGAAGAACAAAUGUGUAAGUAACUAUGCACGUCUUGACGGUACCUAAUCAGAAAGCCACGGCUAACUACGUG